rnacentral:rRNA from 1 species
UAUCGUCAGCUCGUGUCGUGAGAUGUUGGGUUAAGUCCGUAACGAGCGCAACCCUGUCCUUAGUUACCAGCACGUUAUGGUGGGCGACUCUAAGGAGACUGCCGGUGACAAACCGGAGGAAGGUGGGGAUGACGUCAAGUCAUCAUGGCCCUUACGGCCUGGGCUACACACGUGCUACAAUGGUCGGUACAAAGGGUUGCCAAGCCGCGAGGUGGAGCUAAUCCCAUAAAACCGAUCGUAGUCCGGAUCGCAGUCUGCAACUCGACUGCGUGAAGUCGGAAUCGCUAGUAAUCGUGAAUCAGAAUGUCACGGUGAAUACGUUCCCGGGCCUU